UAGUCCACACCGUAAACGAUGAGAGCUAGUUGUCUGCAAGCAUGCUUGUAGGUGACGCAGCUAACGCAUUAAGCUCUCCGCCUGGGGAGUACGGUCGCAAGAUUAAAACUCAAAGAAAUUGACGGGGGCCCGCACAAGCGGUGGAGCAUGUGGUUUAAUUCGAAGCAACGCGCAGAACCUUACCUACCCUUGACAUGCCGGUCGCGAUUUCCAGAGAUGGAUUUCUUCAAUUCGGUUGGACCGUGCACAGGUGCUGCAUGGCCGUCGUCAGCUCGUGUCGUGAGAUGUUGGGUUAAGUCCCGCAACGAGCACAACCCUUGUCUUUAGUUGCCAUCAUUUAGUUGGGCACUCUAGAGAAACUGCCGGUGACAAACCGGAGGAAGGUAAGGAUGACGUCAAGUCAGCAUGCCCCUUACGCUCUGGGCUACACACGUGCUACAAUGGUCGUGACAAAGAGUUGCUAGUCUGCGAAGGCAAGCCAAUCUCAUAAACG
rnacentral:rRNA from 1 species